rnacentral:sRNA from 1 species
GGGUUGAUAGCUUCGAGAGCAACCUGGGCAACCUAGGGAGACCCCAUCUCUAUAAAAAAUUUAAAAAUUAGCUGGACAUGGUCAUUCGCAGCCGGUCACACACUGACCCUGCGGGUGCCCGCCGCAAGGUCCCAGCCGGCAGCGGCCUUCGUGGCGGCCGAGUUCCCUGGGGCGGAGCUGCGCGAGGCACAUGGAGGCCGCCUGCGCUUCCAGCUGCCGCCGGGAGGGCGCUGCGCCCUGGCGCGCGUCUUUGGAGAGCUGGCGGUGCACGGCGCAGAGCACGGCGUGGAGGACUUUUCCGUGAGCCAGACGAUGCUGGAGGAGGUAUUCUUGUACUUCUCCAAGGACCAGGGUAAGGACGAGGACACCGAAGAGCAGAAGGA